rfam:Peniophora sp. CONT PENSPscaffold_17_Cont28, whole genome shotgun sequence.
GCCCCCUUCGGGGUGGCAUACGAAAAAAUUGGAACGAUACAGAGAAGAUUAGCAUGGCCCCUGCACAAGGAUGACACGCUUCUCCAGAGUGGUAGACCUACGGGUCUCAAUAUUUAU